rfam:Brassica oleracea var. oleracea cultivar TO1000 chromosome C4, whole genome shotgun sequence
GCGCCCGUGGCCUAAUGGAUAAGGCGUUUGACUUCUAAUCAAACGAUUGUGGGUUCGCGUACCACCGGGCGUG